CUUUGUCUGAGAUCGGCUCUCCGUUUGGAUCCGUAGGAACGGGGGGCGGAGUGGUCAGGGGAGGCCCGGUUCAGCGCCGAUAAGGGCGAUCAUGCUGAAAAUGACUCGCAGUAAUUCCAGAGACCGAAGAUGGGAUGUGAGGCAGUCCAUGGAGUGACCCAAAUCAAAGCAGUACAAAGAUAUCUCUGUGGACUGGGCCCCUUUUUGCAUAUGGGGAGACUACCACGCAUCUCUCGCUCUGGACAUUGGGCCGACUGAAUCAUCCUUUGAGUUUGAAGGAGAUCUUGUUAAUGAGUAGGUAACUGAGGCAUUUGACUUAUUUCCACAUUUCACCCAGAAUUUGCAUGAAUAUGACAGUGUUGUGCUCCAGUAGGACUGCUAAUUAAGUCUACCCAUAAUUGUAAGAGCAAGCUGUGUGCGGUCUAAUCAUUGUUUCCUGUAUUCAGGAGGAGUCCUUGUGGAUGCUGGGUAUGUCUGGUUGAAUGCUGCAUUGGCCAUGUGAUAAAAUCAGGAUUAUAGGUAGCAGUAUAUUUGAAUUAUGAACAGGCCUCCUCUUAUCGUGGUGAGAAACUUAUUUUUCGGAGUGUGCCAGAGGUCUGAGUUGGUGAGAUUUCUAAAGCCAUAUGCAUGCUUUCAUGGUACCUGACUGACAAAAUAACUUUCACGGGCAAUGGAGUCCAAAAUGUGGACAUGCUUCAUGGACUGUAGGUCGUGGAAAAAUGUACACAGUAACCCGUUAGUUCUGAUAGGGCUUUUUGCUCUACUCAUCAAAAAAUGUAUAUUAUAAAUAGAUUUUUGCCUGAAGAGCAACAUGUUACGAAAGUCUUGGCAAGUAUCCACAGAAGAAAGACAGACCAUA